rnacentral:tRNA from 1 species
CUUUUAAAGGAUAGAAGUUAAUCCAUUGGUUUUAGAAACCAUUAACCGU